GGCGGCUUGGUGGUAGAGUGCUUGCCUAGCAUGCAUGAAGCCCUGAGUUCGAUUCUCAGUACCA
rnacentral:tRNA from 1 species